rnacentral:lncRNA from 1 species
UUCAAAAUCUAAGGAAAGCAAUAAAAAUGAAUAAAAUUCUAAAUUACAGAAAACUUUUCUAUCAAUACCUGUUUUUUCACUUUUUCUUCCUCACUUUUAGAAAACUAUAUUUUAUCCCCAUCAAAAUUAAGAAAUGUUUACUUCACCCGUCGUAAGUAUUUCGUCGCGAUUCCAUCUAUAUCCUAUAUUACGUAAUUUUAUUAUACCCAAAAUACCUUCUGUGAACAUUUCUUAAUUUUUGAUAUGUUUUUAAAAGCCGGGGAGGAAAAGUGAAAAAACAGGUAUUGAUAGAGGUUUUUUUUUUUAUAAUUUAGUCAAAAAAUAAAUAAGUUAAUAGUUUUAAGCUUUUGUCUUUUUUUAUU